rnacentral:ncRNA from 1 species
UGAUAAAGGCAAAACUACAGUGAUGUAGUGACGCAAAGCUAAAGGGUCUUCAAAAAAGUAAGAUAGCCAGUUGCCAA